UACGAAGGGUGCAAGCGUUACUCGGAAUUACUGGGCGUAAAGGGAGCGUAGGCGGAUAGUUUAGUCAGAGGUGAAAGCCCAGGGCUCAACCUUGGAAUUGCCUUUGAUACUGGCUAUCUUGAGUACGGAAGAGGUAUGUGGAACUCCGAGUGUAGAGGUGAAAUUCGUAGAUAUUCGGAAGAACACCAGUGGCGAAGGCGACAUACUGGUCCGUUACUGACGCUGAGGCUCGAAAGCGUGGGGAGCAAACAGG
rnacentral:rRNA from 1 species